GACGAACGCUGGCGGCGUUCUUAACACAUGCAAGUCGAACGGAAAGGCCCUGCUUUUGUGGGGUGCUCGAGUGGCGAACGGGUGAGUAACACGUGAGUAACCUGCCCUUGACUUUGGGAUAACUUCAGGAAACUGGGGCUAAUACCGGAUAGGAGCUCCUGCUGCAUGGUGGGGGUUGGAAAGUUUCGGCGGUUGGGGAUGGACUCGCGGCUUAUCAGCUUGUUGGUGGGGUAGUGGCUUACCAAGGCUUUGACGGGUAGCCGGCCUGAGAGGGUGACCGGCCACAUUGGGACUGAGAUACGGCCCAGACUCCUACGGGAGGCAGCAGUGGGGAAUAUUGCACAAUGGGCGGAAGCCUGAUGCAGCAACGCCGCGUGCGGGAUGACGGCCUUCGGGUUGUAAACCGCUUUCGCCUGUGACGAAGCGUGAGUGGCGGUAAUGGGUAAAGAAGCACCGGCUAACUACGUG
rnacentral:rRNA from 1 species